GUUGGAGUCUCAUCUGAGAAGGUGGAGCGAUCGCAAGUCUGCACGUCACUGCGGUGAUCCAGUGGGAGGAGGCAGCCCACCCGGGCCCAUCAGCCGUCGAUCUGGAUUUCCUCCUGUGCGCAGGCGAUUGGCCACCCCGUGCAUGGUUCACUUGGGUGUGACUGCGAGCCCUGCUUAGUUCUGUGAAAGUCACAGAGAGCCUACGUGCAGCAAAAGGUAACCCGAUAGCGCAGAGAAGACGCAGGAGUUAUGACCACCAAACAAAAAAGAACCGUACCGGCAGAGAAACAGAGCAGAAACUGCACAGCUGAUGGAGUGUGAGGAGAAGAAAUCUGAACAUCAUUGUCUAAGUACUUAGUGGCUUUGAAAUAAAACUAGAGAUUAUCGCAAGUGCUGCAGUUGUUCAAAUUCAGCUCCUGCCAAGUUUUCACACCACCGAUGCUUCUAAGAACAGAGAAACCUACCUUAGAAGCUUCUUCCCAAUUUGUAUCUUGCUAUUUUCAGUAUUAAAUUUAGAACAGUGUCUAAAUGAAACAUCUCAUCUUGUUUGUGGUGGCAUUCUUUUAAUGACAUUGUACCUCAUACACUUGACAUAAAGACUCAUACUGAGUGCUGCAGCUCCGUGGCAAGCAAAGCACCAUCCUGUAAAUGAAAGGAUCGCAUUCUCUUUGCAGGUUUUGUUCCUUCUGGCAAGCUAGAAGAUGUAAAAUAUGAACUGGAGAAAAAGGAGAGGAAGGAAGCAUCACACAUCAUCUAGCUAACGUAUUUUAAACACACUGUUCUUUUGGAAUGGUUUUGG
rnacentral:lncRNA from 1 species